CCUACGGGUGGCAGCAGUGAGGAAUAUUGGUCAAUGGACGAAAGUCUGAACCAGCCAAGUAGCGUGAAGGAUGACUGCCCUAUGGGUUGUAAACUUCUUUUAUAAAGGAAUAAAACGAGGCACGUGUGCCUUUUUGCAUGUACUUUAUGAAUAAGGAUCGGCUAACUCCGUGCCAGCAGCCGCGGUAAUACGGAGGAUCCGAGCGUUAUCCGGAUUUAUUGGGUUUAAAGGGAGCGUAGAUGGGUUGUUAAGUCAGUUGUGAAAGGUUGCGGCUCAACCGUAAAAUUGCAAUUGAUACUGGCAGUCUUGAGUACAGUUGAGGUAGGCGGAAUUCGUGGUGUAGCGGUGAAAUGCUUAGAUAUCACGAAGAACCCCGAUUGCGAAGGCAGCUUACUAAACUGUGACUGACAUUGAUGCUCGAAAGUGUGGGUAUCAAACAGGAUUAGAUACCCGAGUAGUC
rnacentral:rRNA from 1 species